rnacentral:rRNA from 1 species
GAUUGAACGCUGGCGGCGUGCUUAACACAUGCAAGUCGAACGGAGCUACCCAAAGGAAGUUUUCGGAUGGAAUUUAGGUAGACUUAGUGGCGGACGGGUGAGUAACGCGUGGAUAACCUGCCUUAUACAGGGGGAUAACGGAGAGAAAUUUCCGCUAACACCGCAUAAGACCACAGCACCGCAUGGUGCAGGGGUAAAAUAUUUAUAGGUAUAAGAUGGAUCCGCGCCCGAUUAGCUAGUUGGUGAGGUAAAGGCCCACCAAGGCGACGAUCGGUAGCCGGCCUGAGAGGGUGAACGGCCACAUUGGGACUGAGACACGGCCCAAACUCCUACGGGAGGCAGCAGUGGGGAAUAUUGGACAAUGGGGGAAACCCUGAUCCAGCGACGCCGCGUGAGUGAAGAAGUAUUUCGGUAUGUAAAGCUCUAUCAGCAGGGAAGAAAAUGACGGUACCUGACUAAGAAGCCCCGGCUAACUACGUGCCAGCAGCCGCGGUAAUACGUAGGGGGCAAGCGUUAUCCGGAUUUACUGGGUGUAAAGGGAGCGCAGACGGCAAUGCAAGUCUGAAGUGAAAGGCGUGGGCUCAACCCAUGAACUGCUUUGGAAACUGUAUAGCUUGAGUGUCGGAGGGGUAAGCGGAAUUCCUAGUGUAGCGGUGAAAUGCGUAGAUAUUAGGAGGAACACCGGAGGCGAAGGCGGCUUACUGGACGACAACUGACGUUGAGGCUCGAAGGCGUGGGGAGCAAACAGG